ensembl:snoRNA
CCCUCCUACAAAGGCGUGUCUUUGUUUCCCUGUCUUUGGACACGUAAGAAUUGGAGGAAAAGAAAUGUGGAUUUGGAGAACUCUGGGGCCACCUUGCUCCUCGUGGGCUCAGAUCAAUCAUCCCACAUGG